rnacentral:rRNA from 1 species
GGACCCGCACAAGCGGUGGAGCAUGUGGUUUAAUUCGAUGCAACGCGAAAAACCUUACCUAUACUUGACAUACUUGGGAGCUCUUGUAAUGAGAGUGUGCCUUUUGGAACCAAGAUACAGGUGCUGCAUGGCUGUCGUCAGCUCGUGUCGUGAGAUGUUCCGUUAAGUCGGAUAACGAGCGCAACCCUUACCCUUAUUUGCCAGCGAUUCGGUCGGGAACUAUAAGGGGACUGCCGGUGAUAAACCGGAGGAAGGUGAGGACGACGUCAAGUCAUCAUGGCCCUUACGAGUAGGGCUACACACGUGCUACAUGGGGAAUACAGACGGACGCUAAGCCGCGAGGUGGUGCUAAUCCUAGAAAGUUUCUCGUAGUCCGGAUUGGAGUCUGCAACUCGACUCCAUGAAGUCGGAAUC